rnacentral:rRNA from 1 species
GACGAACGCUGGCGGCGUGCUUAACACAUGCAAGUCGAACGGAAAGGCCCUGCUUGCAGGGUACUCGAGUGGCGAACGGGCGAGUAACACGUGGGUGAUCUGCCCUGCACUUCGGGAUAAGCCUGGGAAACUGGGUCUAAUACCGGAUAGGAGCCAUUUUUAGUGUGAUGGUUGGAAAGUUUUUUCGGUGUAGGAUGAGCUCGCGGCCUAUCAGCUUGUUGGUGGGGUAAUGGCCUACCAAGGCGGCGACGGGUAGCCGGCCUGAGAGGGUGGACGGCCACAUUGGGACUGAGAUACGGCCCAGACUCCUACGGGAGGCAGCAGUGGGGAAUAUUGCACAAUGGGCGCAAGCCUGAUGCAGCGACGCCGCGUGGGGGAGGACGGCCUUCGGGUUGUAAACGCCUUUCGCUAGGGACGAAGCUUUUUGUGACGGUACCUAGAUAAGAAGCACCGGCUAACUACGUG